rnacentral:rRNA from 1 species
GAGUUUGAUCGUGGCUCAGAUUGAACGCUGGCGGCAUGCCUUACACAUGCAAGUCGAACGGCAGCACGGGAGCUUGCUCCUGGUGGCGAGUGGCGAACGGGUGAGUAAUGCAUCGGAACGUAUCCUGGAGUGGGGGAUAACGUAGCGAAAGUUACGCUAAUACCGCAUAUUCUGUGAGCAGGAAAGCGGGGGACCUUCGGGCCUCGCGCUCUUGGAGCGGCCGAUGUCGGAUUAGCUAGUUGGUGAGGUAAAGGCUCACCAAGGCGACGAUCCGUAGCAGGUCUGAGAGGAUGAUCUGCCACACUGGAACUGAGACACGGUCCAGACUCCUACGGGAGGCAGCAGUGGGGAAUUUUGGACAAUGGGGGCAACCCUGAUCCAGCCAUGCCGCGUGAGUGAAGAAGGCCUCGGUUCGUUAA